rnacentral:rRNA from 1 species
AUUGAACGCUGGCGGAAUGCUUUACACAUGCAAGUCGAACGGUAGAGGGGGCAACCCCUUGAGAGUGGCGAACGGGUGAGUAAUAUAUCGGAACGUGCCCAGUCGUGGGGAUAACGUAGCGAAAGUUACGCUAAUACCGCAUACGAUCUAAGGAUGAAAGCGGGGGAUCGCAAGACCUCGCGCGAUUGGAGCGGCCGAUAUCAGAUUAGGUAGUUGGUGAGGUAAAGGCUCACCAAGCCAACGAUCUGUAGCUGGUCUGAGAGGACGACCAGCCACACUGGAACUGAGACACGGUCCAGACUCCUACGGGAGGCAGCAGUGGGGAAUUUUGGACAAUGGACGCAAGUCUGAUCCAGCCAUUCCGCGUGCAGGAUGAAGGCCCUCGGGUUGUAAACUGCUUUUGUACGGAACGAAAAGGUUUCUCUUAAUACGAGGAGCUCAUGACGGUACCGUAAGAAUAAGCACCGGCUAACUACGUGCCAGCAGCCGCGUAAAGUGACU